CAGCCGCCGCGGUAAUACGGAGGGUGCAAGCGUUAUCCGGAUUCACUGGGUUUAAAGGGUGCGUAGGCGGGUCUGUAAGUCAGUGGUGAAAUCCCGGAGCUCAACUUGGGAACUGCCGUUGAUACUAUCUGUCUUGAAUGUUGUGGAGGUAAGCGGAAUAUGUCAUGUAGCGGUGAAAUGCUUAGAUAUGACGUAGAACACCCAUUGCGAAGGCAGCUUACUACACGAAUAUUGACACUGAGGCACGAAAGCGUGGGGAUCAAACAGGAUUAGAUACCCUGGUAGUCCACGCCCUAAACUAUGGAUACUCGACAUCCCCGAUACACUGUGGGUGUCUGAGCGAAAGCAUUAAGUAUCCCACCUGGGAAGUACCAUCGCAGGAUUGAAACUCAAAUGAAUUGGCGGGGGAGCACAA
rnacentral:rRNA from 1 species